rnacentral:tRNA from 1 species
GCCCGGAUGGCGAAACUGGUAGACGCACCGGACUUAAAAUCCGUUGACCGCGAGGUCGUGCCGGUUCGAUUCCGGCUCCGGGCACCA